rnacentral:lncRNA from 1 species
AUUUACUAUAUUUUAUCUUUUGUAGAAAACAGUUUACAUGCAGGCAUCCAGAAAAGAGCUGUCCAGGAACUAUUUGCAAGUGACAAAUGUACAUAUAGUCAAAAAGUGCUGCUCAGUGGAGCUGCUGUUUCAGAUGCUGCAUACAAAGCAAGACACAAAGCAAGGAGACAAACCCAGUGUACGGGGGAAACUUUUGGCCAGAAUGCCUUAAAAAAUGCAAAACCCGCAGGUGAUUUUCCUGGAUGUAAUUACAGUGCUGUGCCUGGUUUUCUCUCCACUCAAUUGCCUUUCACAUCCAGUUUUCAACGAAUUGACUUGGAAAGACAAUCUCUGGAGGAAUGCCCACAGUUGGACUUUGUAAAAGAACUGCAGUUUCUCAACCUUCAG